AGAGUUUGAUCCUGGCUCAGAACGAACGCUGGCGGCGUGGAUAAGACAUGCAAGUCGAGCGAGACAUUUCGGGUAGCAAUAUUCGGAAUGUUUAGCGGCGAAAGGGUGCGUAACACGUGGGCAAUUUGCCUUGAAGUUGGGAAUAACUCCGAGAAAUCGGAGCUAAUACCGAAUGUGGUUCUUGGGAGGCAUCUCCUGAAAACUAAAGUUGGGGACCGUAAGGCCUGACGCUUCAAGAUGAGCCCGCGGCCUAUCAGCUAGUUGGUGAGGUAACGGCUCACCAAGGCUAAGACGGGUAGCUGGUCUGAGAGGACGACCAGCCACACUGGAACUGAGACACGGUCCAGACACCUACGGGUGGCAGCAGUCGAGAAUUUUUCUCAAUGGGCGAAAGCCUGAAGGAGCGACGCCGCGUGGGGGAUGAAUGGCUUCGGCCCGUAAACCCCUGUCAUUUGCGAACAAACCUUACGACUUAAUACGUCGUGAGCUGAUUGUAGCGAAAGAGGAAGGGACGGCUAACUCUGUGCCAGCAGCCGCGGUAAUACAGAGGUCCCAAGCGUUGUUCGGAUUCACUGGGCGUAAAGGGUGCGUAGGUGGUCGGGUAAGUCUGAUGUGAAAUCUCUGGGCUCAACCCAGAAAUGGCAUUGGAUACUAUCCGGCUAGAGGAUCGGAGGGGGGACUGGAAUUCUUGGUGUAGCAGUGAAAUGCGUAGAUAUCAAGAGGAACACCAGUGGCGAAGGCGAGUCCCUGGACGAUACCUGACACUGAGGCACGAAAGCUAGGGGAGCAAACAGGAUUAGAUACCCUAGUAGUCC
rnacentral:rRNA from 1 species